GAAAACAGAGGAAAUUCAUCUCUCCUCUGUCAAAAGCAAUGGAUCGCUUUCCAGAAGCAAUCAAACUGUGCUACAGUACCCAGGUGAUAAAAUGGUGAUGCAGUGGUUAUACAGGAGUGAUACAAAAUGAUGAUUGUACUCUUUCCUAGUAUUCGAUUUAUAUCUUACCUCUGUGAUUGUGUUAAAUAAGUAUUCUAUAUGUACUGGAUUAUAAACCUCCAAUUCCUCGUGGGAACGAUCUCGUAUUU
rnacentral:lncRNA from 1 species